GUCGCCUCCUAAAAGGUAACGGAGGCGCUCAAAGGUUCCCUCAGAAUGGUUGGAAAUCAUUCAUAGAGUGUAAAGGCAUAAGGGAGCUUGACUGCGAGACCUACAAGUCGAGCAGGGUCGAAAGACGGACUUAGUGAUCCGGUGGUUCCGCAUGGAAGGGCCAUCGCUCAACGGAUAAAAGCUACCCCGGGGAUAACAGGCUUAUCUCCCCCAAGAGUUCACAUCGACGGGGAGGUUUGGCACCUCGAUGUCGGCUCAUCGCAUCCUGGGGCUGUAGUCGGUCCCAAGGGUUGGGCUGUUCGCCCAUUAAAGCGGUACGCGAGCUGGGUUCAGAACGUCGUGAGACAGUUCGGUCCCUAUCCGUCGUGGGCGUAGGAAAUUUGAGAGGAGCUGUCCUUAGUACGAGAGGACCGGGAUGGACAUACCUCUGGUGUACCAGUUGUCGUGCCAACGGCAUAGCUGGGUAGCUAUGUGUGGACGGGAUAAGUGCUGAAAGCAUCUAAGCAUGAAGCCCCCCUCAAGAUGAGAUUUCCCAACUUCGGUUAUAAGAUCCCUCAAAGAUGAUGAGGUUAAUAGGUUCGAGGUGGAAGCAUGGUGACAUGUGGAGCUG
rnacentral:rRNA from 1 species